UUUUUUUUUUUUUUUUUGAAAUAAUCUCCAUUGAAGAUGAUAAAAUGUCAUUGUUAAUUAAGCCAAAUACCUGUAUAGGGAAGAGGCAAUAUUAUGUGUUUGCUGCAAUUAUCAGGUUCACUAUUUGAAUUUUAGCGGAAUCAUGGCCAUAUUUGAGCGAAGUAGAUCUCGAAUAUGGUUGCACUUGAUAUUUUACCUUUUUGCAGACCUGGCCAGGCAAGGAGUUUUGAAACCCGAGGCUGAGGAUGUUUAUUAUAAUUUUGUCCACUUGUGUCUUUGAUUUUUCUCUACAUUUUAGCGCAGAUGUUGGAAAUUUGUUUUGGAGUUGUCUUGAAGGUUCUUUUUUUUUUUUUUUUUUUU
rnacentral:misc_RNA from 1 species